UAUGGCCAUAUUAUGUUGAAACAACGUUUCCCAUAUGAUCGCUGAAGUUAAGCACCAUCAAACGUGGUCAGUAAUUAGAUGGGUGACCGCUUGGGAAUACCAGGUGCUGUAAG